GUGGUUUGAUACGGUGGCCCUGAAGUGCAAAACACAAAAACAAAAUCAGAAAACACAACAGCAAAAGAGAAAACACAAUGGUUAAUGUCCUUGUGUUUCCUGAUUUGUUGUUGUGUUUUCUAUUUUUGUGUUAUGUUUUCUGAUUUGCUGGUGUUUUGCACCUCAGAGCCACCGUAGUUUGAUCA
rnacentral:miRNA from 1 species